GAUGAACGCUGGCGGCGUGCUUAACACAUGCAAGUCGAACGAUUAAAGCCCCUUCGGGGGUGUAUAAAGUGGCGAACGGGUGAGUAACACGUGGGCAAUCUGCCCCUCACUUCGGGAUAACUCAGGGAAACUUGAGCUAAUACCGGAUACUCCGAACUGAUCGCAUGGUCGGUUCGGGAAAGCUCCGACGGUGAGGGAUGAGCCCGCGGCCCAUUAGCUUGUUGGUAGGGUAACGGCCUACCAAGGCGACGAUGGGUAGCCGAGCUGAGAGGCUGAUCGGCCACACUGGGACUGAGACACGGCCCAGACUCCUACGGGAGGCAGCAGUGGGGAAUUUUGCGCAAUGGCGAAAGCCUGACGCAGCAACGCCGCGUGCGGGAUGAAGGCUCUCGGGUCGUAAACCGCUUUCAGCAGGGAUGAAAUUGACAGUACCUGCAGAAGAAGCCCCGGCUAAAUACGUGCCAGCAGCCGCGGUAAUAC
rnacentral:rRNA from 1 species